rnacentral:lncRNA from 1 species
UAAAUUAGCUAGGUUUCUAACGUCGUCUCUCUGCCGAGACCAACUUAAAAAUCUACUUCCAAAACUAUUUGAGAAGAUGCCUAACUAGUGACUACCCAGAAACUCGAACUCAUGUUCUCAACAAAAGUGGAGAAGGACACACUGGCCACGGGCCACGGCAUAGGAUUAAUUGAAGAUAAUUGUCAUCCAUUCACGUGCCGGAGGAGUACCCUAGGUAAAAAAGAAAAAUCAAAAGUACAGUUGGGCAAUAAAUAGAACCCAGAAAAAUAAAUAAAUAAAUCAGUGAAGAAUUAAUGAGAGGACUAACAUGGGGCACGAGUCAAGGUCGCUGGCAU